GAGAUGUUUCUACGCUAUUAUUUGAGCUUUUAUAGUUGAAAGAAAUGCAGUAUGGCAUUUUCCCAGUUCUGUAAGCAUUCUGCCAGCUGGCCAAUAGAAGCAGUCAAUUUUCUGUUGAGUAUUCAGAAUGAUGAAAGACAAGAUUCUGUGAAACCAAGCCAACUCAAGAUAGACAGCAAUAAUAUUCAGCCAGCCAUGUAGUCUUAAAAGAGAAAUAAACCAUUCUGACCGUGGUUGAGGAAUUGGGAUAAAUUAAUUUCAUUGUUCUGUGAACUCGACUAAAUUAUAAACAAUGUCAAAAAUAUCUUACCUUUUAGUUUGUUGUUAAUCCUUUCAAGGGAUUCCAUAAGUCGUUGUUCUUCGAGAGAUAUUAUUGUUGGACCUAUAAC